rnacentral:RNase_MRP_RNA from 3 species
CCCUCGCUCAAUAAAUCGCCAUUCGAAGCUCACAAACAGAGAUACUGCGAUCGCAGCGUCUCCUUCACAUUUGGCUUUGGGAGAAAGUCCCCGGACGUCUCCGUCUCGACGGAGCCUGCGGAAACGCGCCGCCAUAGAAGCACAGCGGCUGACCUCUGCACCCAGGCCCUCUCCCUGCGACCGGCCCUGCCCUCCGCUGCAUCUUCCCGUAUGGCAACUUGAUUCUCAUGCUGAACCGAGCUCUCCGGUCCCUUUGGAUGAAGAUAUGAGUCCGCUGCCGGGGUUGCAAAGUUCUUCUUAGAUUGACGGGGGCCGAAAGGUGGAUGGUUGGCAGACGUUGGUCGCUCGCGAGUGUUGGCAUCGGGUGCUGAGGACUUGUUGUCGAGGUUGAUAGGUAUGCGAUUGCUCAGCGAAAGCCGAGUUACUCAACGGGGCUCAUUCUUGAUGCGAGG